AUACCAUACUGACCUUUUAAGUAUGCUUAAUAAAUAAGAUUUUUAUUGGUAUUAUAUGUAAACAUCAACAAGUGCACACACAUGCCUAUAUAAAAGAAUGGCAUCAACUAUCAUUACUCUCUCCUUGUCUAUUUAUGUGACAUUUUUGCCUAGCUACAAUGAUAAGAAACCAAAAAUCAUUUUCCCCCUUGUUUGUUUGAGUUAUUCUGACAAGCAGAGUUGUGCCACUGUUUUUGAAAAUUCAGGAUACUUUGUAUAAAAGAGAUUUUCAAAGUAUCGUGUCAUUAUGGCUAGAUACGUUCUGUGGUCAUAAUUUCAUCAUAUUUUAGGUUUAUAUUAAAUGCUGGACUUUUGCCCACGAGUUGCGCGGAUAUAAUCAUUAUUAGUAUAUAUUAUUUAGUUGAAUGGAAAUACGAGUAUAUAACAUUUUCUGUUCUUAUAUUUAAUUUAUUUAAAAUAUUUUAAGAUAUGUUUGUAAAAGAAACUGUGAAAAUAUAAACGGAAUAAAUGCGAAGAAUAAAUAAUAUUUUGAAAAUAAAUACAAAGAAUAAAGAAUAAAAUGCCA
rnacentral:misc_RNA from 1 species